rnacentral:misc_RNA from 1 species
GUUCAGUUUUGAGAGGUCUAAUCUUCUCAACUGAAAUUUGUUCUUUGAAAACUGGAUAUUGUAAGAAAGCAAUUUAUGAAAAAAGAAACAAUGUAUACACCGCGUUUUAAAUGAGUUUUUUAACGUUCUUAUCGUAAGAUAAAACGUAUUAACGACAAUUUUGAGAAAUCAAAAUAGGUUAAGUUAAUAAGGGCGCACGGUGGAUGCCUUGGCACUAGGAGCCGAAGAAGGACGGGACUAACUCCGAUAUGCUUUGGGGAGCUGUAAGUAAGCUUUGAUCCAAAGAUUUCCGAAUGGGGGAACCCAGCAUCUUUUAUAGGAUGUUACUACUAACUGAAUACAUAG